rnacentral:lncRNA from 1 species
UUCUUAUUAUUAUUAUUAUGUCACCCUGACGGAGGUCGGGUGACAUAUUGUUAUUGUUCCAUUCUUUAUUUUAUUUAUUAUGGCACCCUCAACGGAGUUGGGGUGACAUAUUGUUAUUGUUCGUUUCUUUUUGUCUUAUUAUUGCACCCUCAACGGAGUUGGGGUGACAUAUUGUUAUUGUUCGUUUCUUUUUUUUCUAGUUAUUAUAUUUAUUCUUCCACACUUUUUUGUCCAUACUAUUUCUCAGAAUUGGCUUGAACAAUAUUGAUGGAACUAUACCAUAAUGUUGACCACCACAUUCUAUAGUGCAGUGGGGUAUGGCAUCAUCAAGAUGGCUGCCGUUGCCAUGGAAACGAAACAAAUGUGAAAAAAUACAGGUUUUUGUUUUGGUGAACUGUUUGGAUAUGCUUGAACUCAGAAUCAUCAUAUUUUAAUACAAUGUAGGUGCCCACUAUAUACAGGUGUUGGAUGAUUUUGGCACUCAUUGGACCUACUAUGUUGCCAUGGAAACUACACCAAAAAUUUCAAAAUAUCAAAAUGCUCCAAACUUCAUGAAACUUCACAGUAACGAUGAGCAACAUUGGAAGAUGUGGCAUUUGGCGUUGGAAUUUCCAAAAUAUCUGUAGUUACCAUGGAAACAAUGCAAAAAGGUCAAAACUUUGAAUUUUCACAGAACAUUCCAGAACAUCAAUGUUAAAUUUACUCUAGAGACAUUAAAUGGUAUAUAUGAUUAUGGAGGGAAAAAAUUGCAGCGGGGGUUUGACUUUGGAAUAUUCAAAAUGGCCGCCGUUACCAUGGGAACAGCAAAAUUAUGAAAAACUUUAAAAUGCUUUAAAUUUAAUGAAACUUAUAACAAAUUUUGCCUAGCUUAUGUAGACUUAACUUUUGAGUUUCGAAUUUUCAAAAUGGCCGUCGUUGCCAUGGAAACAGCAAAAAAUUUCUAAAUGGCUGCCGCUGGCCUGGCAAUGGGGAAAGGGUG